UACGUAGGGUGCAAGCGUUAAUCGGAAUUACUGGGCGUAAAGCGUGCGCAGGCGGCUUUGCAAGACAGGUGUGAAAUCCCCGGGCUUAACCUGGGAACUGCAUUUGUGACUGCAUGGCUGGAGUGCGGCAGAGGGGGAUGGAAUUCCGCGUGUAGCAGUGAAAUGCGUAGAUAUGCGGAGGAACACCGAUGGCGAAGGCAAUCCCCUGGGCCUGCACUGACGCUCAUGCACGAAAGCGUGGGGAGCAAACAGG
rnacentral:rRNA from 1 species